UACGGGGGGAGCAAGCGUUGUUCGGAUUUACUGGGCGUAAAGGGCGCGUAGGCGGCCACCGCAAGUCGACUGUGAAAUCUCCGGGCUUAACCCGGAACGGUCAGCCGAUACUGCGGGGCUAGAGUGCAGAAGGGGCAACUGGAAUUCUCGGUGUAGCGGUGAAAUGCGUAGAUAUCGAGAGGAACACCUGCGGCGAAGGCGGGUUGCUGGGCUGACACUGACGCUGAUGCGCGAAAGCUAGGGGAGCGAACGGG
rnacentral:rRNA from 1 species